GACGAACGCUGGCGGCGUGCUUAACACAUGCAAGUCGAACGGUGAACCUCUUCGGAGGGGAUCAGUGGCGAACGGGUGAGUAACACGUGGGCAACCUGCCCCCGGCUCUGGGAUAACUCCAAGAAAUUGGGGCUAAUACCGGAUGUUCACCGCUUCCCGCAUGGGUGGUGGUGGAAAGGGUUUCCGGCUGGGGAUGGGCCCGCGGCCUAUCAGCUUGUUGGUGGGGUAGUGGCCUACCAAGGCGACGACGGGUAGCCGGCCUGAGAGGGUGACCGGCCACACUGGGACUGAGACACGGCCCAGACUCCUACGGGAGGCAGCAGGGGGGAAUAUUGCGCAAUGGGCGGAAGCCUGACGCAGCGACGCCGCGUGGGGGAUGACGGCCUUCGGGUUGUAAACCCCUUUCAGCAGGGACGAAGCGCAAGUGACGGUACCUGCAGAAGAAGCACCGGCCAACUACGUG
rnacentral:rRNA from 1 species